AAAGACUGUUAAGCUGUCAAAUAGUGAACUACCUCGGUAGUUCCCGAUGCCGUGAUCAUGGUUUUGGUCUCGUUUCUUUUAGGUUACCCCUGUUUCAGGCCAGUGCUUUUGCAUUUUUGGCCCCUGCUCGAGCCAUCCUGUCUUUAGAUAAAUGGAAAUGUAACACCACAGAUGUUUCAGUUGCCAAUGGAACAGCAGAGCUGUUGCACACAGAACACAUCUGGUAUCCCCGGAUCCGAGAGAUCCAGGGGGCCAUCAUCAUGUCCUCACUGAUAGAAGUAGUCAUCGGCCUCCUCGGCCUGCCUGGGGCUCUACUGAAGUACAUCGGGCCCUUGACCAUUACACCCACGGUGGCCCUAAUUGGCCUCUCUGGUUUCCAGGCAGCGGGGGAGAGAGCCGGGAAGCACUGGGGCAUUGCCAUGCUGACAAUAUUCCUAGUAUUACUGUUUUCUCAAUAUGCCAGAAAUGUUAAAUUUCCUCUCCCGAUUUAUAAAUCCAAGAAAGGAUGGACUGCGUACAAGUUACAGCUGUUCAAAAUGUUCCCUAUCAUCCUGGCCAUCCUGGUAUCCUGGCUGCUCUGCUUCAUCUUCACGGUGACAGACGUCUUCCCUCCCGACAGCACAAAGUAUGGCUUCUAUGCUCGCACAGAUGCCAGGCAAGGCGUGCUUCUGGUAGCCCCGUGGUUUAAGGUUCCAUACCCAUGUAAGUAUUCUGAUGGCUAGAGGGGUCAAGAGCCCAAGAGGGCCCAACUGAGAGGGGUU
rnacentral:sRNA from 1 species